rnacentral:tRNA from 1 species
GCUCCGCUGGCGCAAUGGUAGCGCGCCAGACUUCUAUACUGAUGGAAAUCUGGAGGGUACGUUCAUUCCCUCCAUCACCGCGCUGGUCAGCAGAGUAAAAAUCUAACAGACGUGUCUAUAGCUGUGUGUUCGAGUCCCACGCGGAGUG